CAAUAACUGCUCCCUGUCUCCGUAGCAACAGGCAAAAUAUAGGUCUCCUGUAACCCAGUCAAUUUUCACUCGGCAAGGCAACGUACAAUCGUUCAGGAAAUUGUUGCAAAUACAUCGACAUUUAAAUUGCAGAAUGGCGGCUACACAGAGGACCCAGAAAGAGAUGGUGGACAAAGUUACACAACAACUGAAAACUGAGGAAGAUCCCAUGGUACGGUUACGUCUGGCCUGUUUAUUGCGAGGAUCGUCCGGGAUCAAAGGUUUGGGCAGAUGUUUUAAGAUCAUGGAUGACGAUGGUAAUCGAUCACUUGAUUUCAAAGAGUUUAAGAAGGGUAUCCAUGACUACGGCAUUAGUGCAGAGAUGAGUACUGAGGAUAUUCAGGAAGCUUUCAACAAGUGCGACAAGGAUGGUAGUGGCACUCUGGACUUUGAUGAGUUUCUUGUACAACUCAGGCCUCCCAUGAGCAAAGCCAGGAGGACAUUAAUAGAAAAAGCUUUUAAGAAGCUGGACAAGUCUGGUGAUGGUGUCGUUACAGUAGAAGACCUGAAAGGGGUUUACAAUGUCAAGAAACAUCCCAAGUAUCUCAAUGGAGAGUGGACAGAGGACCAGUGCCUACGACAAUUCCUGGACACAUUUGACAGUCAGGACAAAGAUGGAAAGAUACUGAAAGAAGAAUUUGAGAAUUAUUAUAGUGGAGUGAGUGCAUCAAUCGACAGCGAAGCCUACUUUGAUCUCAUGAUGCGCUCAGCAUAUAAACUUUAACAACAAAUGGAGAUAUAGAAGGAAACCAAGGGGUGGAUGUAAUUCCGACUUGAGACCCAGUAUAGAGACUAUCUCAGUUGUGUAUAUUUGGAGGAACUGAGUUAUACUGCAGCACCAUACAUUCAACCUAUCUCACAGCAUAUCUUCUCAUCUAAUACUAUAGCUGUUGUCUAAUGCUGCAGUCAGCAACAUUCUAGCUGUAUCAUCGCGUUCCAAAAACAAGUACUGCUGCACCACAAGUGGUUGAUAGCUGAGCAAUGACCCAAGUUAUAAAGUGAGAUAAUAGCACCUUAUAGGAUCAAAUUUGUGUUUUGAAACAAUUACUAUCUUUUGGAGUACAAUAGUUCAAAGGAUGAUAAUUUAUGAAUGUCAAAUUCUGUAGUAUAAGGCAUACAAUGUUUUCAGAGUAUAUAUAUACACACACACCUGAUAAAAGAGUAAGAAUAUACUCUGAGACAUUGUGUCCCUCAUAUUACAGACGUUGACAUCAUUCAGCUUUCACCAUUUAUGUGAAUCACUUCUAAAUGCCAUUCAAAGACUA
rnacentral:misc_RNA from 1 species